GGCAAGAUGGCCGAGUUGGUUAUGGCGCCGUGUUCAGGAAAACUUGAUUGUAUCAUGAACAGCUUCGCGGUGGAGCAAUCCGCGUGGGUUCGAAUCCCACUCUUGUCA